GGGGUUGUGGCUCAGUGGUAGAGCACUUGCCUGUCAUGUGUGAGGCACUGGGUUCCAUCCUCAGCACCA
rnacentral:tRNA from 1 species